rnacentral:piRNA from 1 species
UGGGCCAGUCUUUCAGGUUCCUGGAGACA